UCUGGUGACCAUAGCGACGGGGUCACACCCGUUCCCAUUUCGAACACGGCAGUUAAGCCCGUCAGCGCCGAUGGUACUUGGAGGUAGACCUCCUGGGAGAGUAGGUCGUCGCCAGAU
rnacentral:rRNA from 1 species